UACGUAGGGGGCAAGCGUGGUCCGGAUUCAUUGGGCGUAAAGAGCGUGUAGGCGGCCAGGUAGGUCGGUUGUGAAAACUGGAGGCUCAACCUUCAGAGGUCGACCGAAACCAUCUGGCUAGAGUCCGGGAGAGGAGAGUGGAAUUCCUGGUGUAGCGGUGAAAUGCGCAGAUAUCAGGAAGAACACCCGUGGCGAAAGCGGCUCUCUGGAACGGUACUGACGCUGAGACGCGAAAGCGUGGGGAGCGAACAGG
rnacentral:rRNA from 1 species